UAGGGAAUCUUCCACAAUGGGCGCAAGCCUGAUGGAGCAACACCGCGUGAGUGAAGAAGGGUUUCGGCUCGUAAAGCUCUGUUGUUAAAGAAGAACACGUAUGAGAGUAACUGUUCAUACGUUGACGGUAUUUAACCAGAAAGUCACGGCUAAAUACGUGCUAG
rnacentral:rRNA from 1 species